AGAUUUAAAAUGGGCCAGCUUACUGCAGAGCAACGAAUAUUUAAAAAAAAUGUUCGUUGCUCUGCAGUAAGCUGGCCCAUUUUAUAUCU